rnacentral:rRNA from 1 species
UAUGUAGGGUGCAAGCGUUGUCCGGAAUUAUUGGGCGUAAAGAGCUCGUAGGCGGUUUGUUGCGUCGGCUGUGAAAUCCCGAGGCUCAACCUCGGGUCUGCAGUCGAUACGAGCAAACUAGAGUGUUGCAGGGGAGACUGGAAUUCCUGGUGUAGCGGUGAAAUGCGUAGAUAUCAAGAGGAACACCUGAGGUGAAGACGGGUUGCUGGGCUGACACUGACGCUGAGGCGCGAAAGCCAGGGGAGCAAACAGG